GGGGAGGGGUGCGGGGUCGGCUAGCAUUGGGCCGACCCGGGGUGAACUGGCUCUUUUGGGUCCCGGGUGCUGAGAGGCCGAGGGAACAGCUGGGAUGGGGGAACCCCGCCUCCAGCCCCCGGGCCGGCCCGUCCGCGCACCCACUCCACCCGGCGGAGGUUGGGCGUGCGGCGCCAGGCGCUCUCCGGGAAACUUGUAAGGUCCUGCGCUGGCACCUCCCACCGCGCGACACGUACAUCUCGGUCCCCAUAUUCAGGCAGCGGCUCCGCCAGCCGAGCGAGAGUGACCAGCGAAGGGACAACAGCAGUCCAGGACGGGGACCAGCCCCCUGAGGGACCAAGGCAGUUGAGGGUUUCUAAAUGCCCUCACAGCAAUUCAAUAUUUGAUCCUCCCUCUGGGAAGUGAAUCUGAUCAGGGCCUUCCUUGCUCUCCUCCUCCUCUGUUCUCCAGCCCCUCAAAAGAGCCCAUAGAAACACAGAAAGGCCCAAGGGGAGUUUCUUGCUCUUGGAAGUGACUCUGCCUGGGACCCAGAAUCCAGAAAUGAUGCCAGGAUUCUGUGUUCUGGAAGCAGAAGCAGGAGGAGGAUGGAGUCUGCUGGGACCUCCCCAUUCUUAGUGUUGGGCCUGAGAAAGGGUUCUCUUGGGCUCCCUCCCCCACCCCCAGCCCCAUGCUCCAAUUUGCUCUCUGCUUAACUAGCUGGAGGAGUUCUGAGGGAUUACUUCCUCCAAUGCAGGGAGAGUUUGGUUUAGGUCCGGAUCUCUCAGUCUAGGCACUACUGACAUUUGGAGCUGGAAUAUUCUUUGCUGUGGAGGGUGUCCUGUGCAAUGUAGAAUGUUUGGCAGCAUCUCUGGCCUCUAGCCAUAGAUGCCAGUAGCCCCUACCGCAGUUAUGACCAUCAAAAAUAUGUAUAGCUGAUUCACUUUGUUAUAAAGCAGAAACUAACACACCAUUGUAAAGCAAUUA